GAACUGAACUGAACACCCUGAAACUCUAUUAUCCACGCAUGUCCAACCAGCCCCCAGAGCUCUUGUUGUGUGCCAGGGCCGAUACCACUUGUCAAGGGGGAAGACUCAGAAGGUGUGGCUCUUACUUGAGGACACGUUCGUCUGCGGUAUGAAAAAGAUCAUAAACACAUCAUUGCAACCGAGUUUGCUAAGUGCAGUGAGGCAGGCUCAUACAGAGUGUCAAGGGAAGGCAUAUUGGCUGUGGAGAUUAAAUGAGAUUAUAUGUA
rnacentral:lncRNA from 1 species